rnacentral:rRNA from 1 species
ACAGAAAUUACAUUGAUGAUUGUGGAUAACUCUGUGCGUAAAAAGGUAUAAAGCGGGCUUUUGCUGGGGAAUGCAGCAGUCAGUCAUUUUUCUGCAAUUUUUCUAUUGCGGCCUGCGGAGAACUCCCUAUAAUGCGCCUCCAUCGACACGGCGGAUGUGAAUCACUUCACACAAACAGCCGGUUCGGUUGAAGAGAAAAAUCCUGAAAUUCAGGGUUGACUCUGAAAGAGGAAAGCGUAAUAUACGCCACCUCGCGACAGUGCGCUAAAGCGCGUCGCAACUGCUCUUUAACAAUUUAUCAGACAAUCUGUGUGGGCACUCGAAGAUACGGAUUCUUAACGUCGCAAGACGAAAAAUGAAUACCAAGUCUCAAGAGUGAACACGUAAUUCAUUACGAAGUUUAAUUCUUUGAGCAUCAAACUUUUAAAUUGAAGAGUUUGAUCAUGGCUCAGAUUGAACGCUGGCGGCAGGCCUAACACAUGCAAGUCGAACGGUAACAGGAAACAGCUUGCUGUUUCGCUGACGAGUGGCGGACGGGUGAGUAAUGUCUGGGAAACUGCCUGAUGGAGGGGGAUAACUACUGGAAACGGUAGCUAAUACCGCAUAACGUCGCAAGACCAAAGAGGGGGACCUUCGGGCCUCUUGCCAUCGGAUGUGCCCAGAUGGGAUUAGCUAGUAGGUGGGGUAACGGCUCACCUAGGCGACGAUCCCUAGCUGGUCUGAGAGGAUGACCAGCCACACUGGAACUGAGACACGGUCCAGACUCCUACGGGAGGCAGCAGUGGGGAAUAUUGCACAAUGGGCGCAAGCCUGAUGC